ensembl:lncRNA
GCCUUGCGCCCGGGUGAGGCGGCGGCCUCGAGGUUGUCCUGCUGUGCUCCGCAGUGCUCCAACGCCGCGGGGCGGCUCCGGGCGCCGCCUCAGCUUCUACAGGAGAGACGUUGUGGGUGAGACAGAGGGAACAUCAAAUGAGAAACUGGGAAGAGAUAUGAAGUAGCGGGACCAGUUUUUCUAAAUCUCUUUCAGACCCACCCCUGGAACCAAGCUGGGAAGGUCUGUUCCAGGUGCUGCUAACGUCCCACACAGCUGUCAAAGUUAAAGAACAAGCGCUGUGGAUGCAUUAGACUAGGGUCAUAAGAUUCCUUGAACACAAUGGGAAUCGAAGUCAGCUGGACCUUUAAAACUGCAAAUCCAAAGACAGUAAAUAUGGGCUCUUGUAAUAGUGAGAAAUUUGAUAAGUGCGGCUUUUGAUGCAAAUGCUUAUGUAAAAAAAAAAAAACCAAAAAGCUUUGCAAAGUAUGCCAGUCUCAGUCAUUGUGCAGUAUGUGGCCAAGCCGAUGAUUUUAACUCUCCACUCCUUGGAAUCCCUGAUGCAUUUAACUAGAAGGAGCACUGAUGGCCAUCGGUUGCUGUGUUAUCCUGUGUGUGAAGGGACUGGUUCAACAACUGAUCGAGACAGCACUAUUGAAGCAAACAGCAAGGGAGCCACCACCACAUUUGGAUAAAAUGAUGGUGUGAGAGGAGAUGGGGAAUGAAGACAGCAAAGAUGAUAUCUGUAAGAUUGUACCAUAUAAAAGAAUUGCAGAAAUCAACAAUGUAAGAAGAAGAAAAGGGGGGAAUUGUAGGAAUGGAAUGUUGUUUCUGCAUUAGAUACCGAAAAUGGGGAAUUGAUCCGAAGAAGUAGAGCACAAUGGAUUUGUAUUUUGUAACUUGUCCUUAGAAAUAGCUGAUGUGAAAAGGUAGAAAUACUGGAUAUGUUAGUAGCGUAUUUCAGAAGUAUAGCUGCUGAAUUAUGUGAUUAGUUCUUGCUGCAGAACUGCAAUGGUUUUUAAAUGUUCCAGAUAGUAUAGGGAUAGUACGAUGGACUAGAAAGCAUAUUGUAGGGCUAUUCUGUUUAGAUAAGAGAACCUCAGCAAGAGAAAAACAGACUUGACCAACAUCCAAGAAGCCAGGGCCUCUGCACAAGGUUGGAUUGCCUCGCUCUGUGGGUAGGUGCAACAGGCAGGCAUCAAGAUACUCCCCUCUAUCCUCCUGCCAAGCUUGUCUCUAUCCAAGGGCAAGCAGAUGCCCAGAAACAGUGACUGAGUGUUGAAUGAGCACACGUGAGCACACGUUAACUAAUGAGUGACAUGUGCUUAGCUAGCAACAAGUUAUGUUGAUCCAGUAUCCGUACGUUUAGCUGAGCAUCGGAAGAUUGUGAACCUGAAGUACUCAGCCAAUGAGGAACCAAUGAGGGGAGAAAGAGGUAAGCGUCGAUAACAGGGAGUAAAAGUGGAAGGCUGUUUUCUGUGUGCUCUCCUGCUUGCAGGAGGCCUGCCAUUGCAGUUGUGCAGAGAUUCUGCUUUAUCAGAGAUACCGUCCUGAUAAAUUAUUUGUAUUUGCCUAUUUCCAAGGUGGCAAGCACACCCCCUUCAGGGCACAUCUCAUCCCACUGUUAGUCAGUCCUUGUAAGAAGCACCACGACAAAUCCACCUGAAAAACACAGCCCUUCCAUUGAGUAACAAAGAAAGCACUCUGCCCUUGCUCCUGACCCUCGUCCCUGCUCCCACCUGCCCUCACAGUACAGCCACCUUGAGCAGGGUAAAGAGCAGUGAGAAUUCAUACUUGGUUAUCCUGGCACAAAGAGUUUGUGGGCCACAAAGAGAAAUGCCUGCAUUCCAGAAAACAGAGACAAAAAGAGACAGACGGAGGAGUGCCUAAUAAAGAUGUGACGAUGUUCUC